rnacentral:lncRNA from 1 species
AUCAGAUCACUUUUAGACAUCAUGUAAGAACCUGUAUUCUUUCCCAUGAGAUGGUCACAAUGACAGAACAUAAUCAAGAAGGAUAUUGGGAGAUUUAUCAUUCCUCAUCUUUUAAAAAAAUUGAUGUUUGAUUGACAUUUAUCAAAGCUUUGCUGCAUCAGUAAAGGCUCAAGUUUAUUCAUAUGUAUUGAUCCCCUUGGUUGUUCAGCUAAAUAAAGUUUUGAACAGAUUUGGAAUACAAAUCUUCAAAAAUGCUUUUCACCUGCAGCGUGAAACUUGAAGCUCAUCCCUUUGGCUCAAAGUCCAGCUGAAUUAUGUACUUUUCCUGAAAUUUUAACUUUGACUAUCUAAGAGUCUUACUGUAAGACUUCACUUCCAGAAAACAUUGAGAUAUAGGGACUCUGGCUACUCUACUGUGCCCUACAUACAGUUACGUCUUAUUUUAUGAUAGUAUUUUUAAACCUUGUUAUUUUAUAACACAUUUAUGUUUUGUAGAGGCCUAGAUAUCAAUGCAAAUUUCAAAGCAAGUGAUCAUGAGUCCUGAUAAGGAGAUAAUAUGCUUUGAAAUAGGAAGAAAUGAGACUAUUUUAAGAAUGACUGAUGGUGCCCUGGCAUUCCUUCUCCCCUGUGCCCUUGGAGGGUAUUUAGUGCUACCUAGAAUGUGAGUCAGAGAAGGUACAGAUAGGAAGAACUGUUCUCACACCACAGGAGAAGUAACAGCUCAAGGGCCUAGCUAGUCAGAGCAGUGUGGCACUGCUGCUCCAGAAGUCUG